UUUUAAAUAGUUUAUAAAAAAUUUAAUAUUGAAGAUAUUAAGAAAGUAGGUGUUACUUUUAAAAU
rnacentral:tRNA from 1 species